GGCCCGAGUUGUAAUCUGUAGAGGACGCUUUUGGCGCGGUGCCUUCCGAGUUCCCUGGAACGGGACGCCAUAGAGGGUGAGAGCCCCGUAAGGUCGGACACCAAGCCUCUGUAAAGCUCCUUCGACGAGUCGAGUAGCUUGGGAAUGCUGCUCUAAGCGGGAGGUAAACUUCUUCUAAAGCUAAAUACUGGCCAGAGACCGAUAGCGCACAAGUAGAGUGAUCGAAAGAUGAAAAGCACUUUGAAAAGAGGGUCAAAUAGUACGUGAAAUUGUUGAAAGGGAAGCGCUCAUGACCAGACUUGCGCCUGGCGGAUCAUCCGGCUGUCUCAGCCGGUGCACUCCGCCUGGCGCAGGCCAGCGUCGGCUGUUGCGGGGGGACAAAAGCACUGGGAACGUAGCUCUCCUCGGAGAGUGUUAUAGCCCUAUGCA
rnacentral:rRNA from 4 species